ensembl:lncRNA
AUGACGCUGAGAGUUCGCCCACAUAACAGGUGAGGCCCAGACGAGUCGGUGGAGAGACCCCUCAGGGCCAGCCCACCUGUUUGUGUUGCUGCAGCUUCCUGACAGGUGAGCUGCCUCUGUGAGGCCCUCCAGGUGAAACCCUCCCACUACAGGGUGGAGGCUGCCUGCUUCCUCUGAAUUCUGAUGACAUUGUUCUGCUCUGGUGUUCUAAACAAACAGUGGAGCAGUAGAAGUUCUUCAUUCUGCUCCUGUUAGCGCAGAACCACCAGAACUUCCUGCAGGGGCGAGGCAGCGCAGCUCUUAUCAGUAGAUAACCAUUAACCACAGCUUUCAGGGGGCGGAGCCAAAAACAAAACCUGAUUUCAUCCUCACCUCCCCACACCACACACAUGCAAAGAAAGGAUCUGAGCAGACGCGCUAAACUAAACAGGUUUAAGGUGACUUGAAGCCGGUAACAGGUGUGUGCAGACCCGAGUGAGUCCUGAUUCUACCUGUUUCCUCCUUCAGAGUCUGGACUGACGUCACCUGACCGGAGGAAGCGUUUCUGUCCCACCUGACAGCUGGAUGCUGCAAUAGGACAACAGGACUGAAAAUCGGACUCAAAACAUCCUCUCAAGUCUUUUUUACUAACAAUGUUCAGUUUUAAGAGUGAAACCUGAUAAAAACAAUCAUUAAAUGAUCAGAAGCUUUGAUGUUCUGUCCGAUCUCUGCUUGUGAGCUGUUCCUGGAGCUCAGACUGUCCCACAACAUGCGUGAAGCUGCUAGUUUAAAAAUGGAUGGACUGUGGGUCAAAGCGAGCAGGAUUUAUCAGUCUCGGCCUGGGUUGCUGGAGCCAAGCCAGCUGCUGCAGGGCGCCGGCACGGUUCAUCCUGAGCAGGUCACCUGUCUGCUGCAGGUCACCUGUCUGCUGCAGGUCACCUGUCUGCUGCAGGUCACCUGUCUGCUGCAGGGCAACACACACACGCCCAAACACAGUCAAAUCCAAGGGGGAAUUUAGAAUCUUCAAUCAACCAAUGAAGCAGGUUUUACAACUGUUUAACUCAUCCUUAACCACAACGCUCCAGAAUGCACAAAAGAUGCAUCAGAAAAAAUCUAGUCUUUUCUAGGGAGUAGCUUGUAAAAAGGACAGAGGAUCCAGCCGUACAUUUCCUUCUAAUGUACAUUCAGAUGUUUUCUAAUAUUUUGGAUCCACUCGUGAUCCUUAAGCUUUUGCACUUCUGAAAAGAGAAGAAUUUUUGUUUCUUAUUUUCUUUUAACUCUAACAGCUCUUCUCUUAUAACAUAAACCUAAAUAACACAGACAUAACAGGGCUGUAAACGCUUCAUUUGAACAAAGAUUCAGUCCAUAUCAUGAUUUGUGGUUGCUGAUCCGAUUCAAUGACCUAAAAUGAAUGUUGGACAUCUUUAUACAAAACUUCAACCAGAGAUAAAUACCUGCUACUGGACAGUGCAGCUGAAGUUUUCCAGAUCUUUUGUUUUUCUCCAAGAUAAUCAAGUGUAAAUGAAAUAUGUAUACAACAAAUAAACAAUGAAUGUCAAAUCCAUUCACGUCUUAGUUUGGUCGAGUUGUUGUUUUUCCACAUCAGAAUCAUCAUUAUUAGAACAUUCUAGCACACUGUAUGGUCACAUGACUGUGAUCAAUUCAAAGACUGAAUGAUGGUUGAUCAGUUUCUGCUGCAUCACACGUGUUGUCUGCUGGGAUGGUCAUUUUUAUGUUAUAGUAAAAUAAAUCUACCAUGUCUCAAUCCAAAUGUAAGGAAACCAAGGCAAUAAAAGCCUGUGCUCAUUCCUGCGAGCUUCAGCUCCUCACAACCCCAAGCUAACAUUAGCUUGCUACAUGAGCUUCAUGGAUCAUGGGCUCUCCAUGGGGCGAUCAGGGAGCUUACAGCGUGCCCAACUGUAGCGCCUAUCCCAGCUACAACCUUUUUCAAACAGUUUUUCUUUCCACAAUUUGGAUAAAGGAAUACUCAGAAACACAGUCUUCAUUGUUAUUUGUUUUAUGUAUGUCCUUAAUCAUGAGGAAAAUGCCGCAGGAACAUGUCAAAAACACCAUUUUAAUUGGAUUGGGUUUUUUGCACAAGUGAAGCUAUAAGCAGAUUACAGAUACUAGCAGGAAUCAUUGUGUGAUUGGAGCCAAAAUCCUAUUCUC